rnacentral:SRP_RNA from 1 species
UCGUGCUAGACGGGGAGGUAGCGGUGCCCUGUACCCGCAAUCCGCUAUAGCGGGGUCGAAUUCCAGCCCUAGGCCUGUUCCUUGUGGGGUCUGGCCCAGGUAAGUAGUGUUGAGGAUUGGGUCUUGCGCAACAGGACUUCAUGAACCCCGUCAGGUCCGGAAGGAAGCAGCGGUAAGUGGAGCCCCCUGUGUGCCGCAAGGGCGCCUGAUUGGAGCCAACUGCCUGGGUAACGCCUGGAAGGGCUGGUCGAAGGCUGGUGCACGG